GCGGUGCGCCCGGCCCCGCCAGGAUCCCACCUCAGCCCGGCGCGUGUCGGUCUUCACUUAAGCCGCGCGGCGUGGCGCGGCACACAGGCGCACACUCCAUAUCCACACUCCGGCUCAACGCGCACCGCAGCCACUGAACCACCAGGCUCCUCAGUCACAGCGCACAUGUUUUCAAUAAUAAGCCCCGCCCCAAACAUUUCAAGCUUUCACACCUGAUUGGCUGACCAUUGUGCCAAUAUUUAAACUCCUGUGUUGACAGCCGCACCAGAGGGACAGAUCACAGAUCAUCAACGCAAACCUGCUACAAAACCCGGACUGGUAUUCAUGGAUGGACUGAACUGGAUUCGGUUUGCUGGUGAUGAGUUGGAAGCAACCCAAGAGGGGCAGUGGCCCUGGUGGCAGUAGUGAAUGAAGAUCAGGUUCCUGCAGGAGUUCCCUUUGAA